CAUUAUAAGAACUUUCAACACACAAAUCUGUCUAAUAUGAUAAACAGCACUGUGUUACCCCACAUACGCUUGACUGGAAAAAGCAGAAGCGGUGACUGUGGCAUAAUAAAAGUUCCGCUGCUCUCGAGAUACUGUAGACACAUCCCAUGAUUUCACAAAAUCAAGGAUAAGCGACUGAAUAAGCGACAUCUAGCUGCAAAAAUUUACAUAUUGUAGCUUUAACAGAUCAAAUAUUCACAUAUCCCUGUGAUCUCCUAGAUGAAGGUUAGUUUUAAAGGUGCCCUAGAAUCUCCAUUUCACAAGAUGUAAUAUAAGUCUAAGGUGUCCCCAGAAUGUGUCUGUGAAUUUUCAGCUCAAAAUACCCCAUAGAUUUUUUAUUAUACCAUGUUUUAACUGCCUAUUUUGGCGUGGGAUUAAAAAUGCACUGAUUUGUGUGUGUACACCUUUAAAUGCUCGUGCUCCCUGCCCCCAAGCUUUCGACUCCAUAAUACAUUGCAUAAACAAUACAAUAAGUUCACACAGCAAAUAUAUCUCUCAAAAUGGACCAUUACAAAGUGUUCAUGAUGCAGCAUAUCAGAUCACAAAGGAUUAUUUGAGUGUGUGCUGUGUUUGGAUCCAGUGUGAGACCAUAGGCCCCUGAACAAAAGAAGACACAAAGAGAACACAAUAGCAGUCCAUGAAUCAAGAUUGUUUAUCCUGUUAACCUUCAUGAGGACGCUGAUGCACUGAAGCAUUCUCUGUUUAAAUUAGUUCAAAGUUACUGUUAGAUUUAAUGUAAUUACCUUUACAAACUAUACAUCAUUAAAAAGAUCCAAGACUCAAGCU